ensembl:lncRNA
AAAAAACCCUCUUAAACAGGUCAGCACAUGACAUUAUGUAACCGUACGAAAUAGUUUUUUAUUGGUCAGCAAGAAGUGAGAUGGAAAUGACCGUUAUGACAAGGAAAAUUGAAAAUUAAUUAAAGAAAUUGUGAAAGUAUUAAAUGAAUAGUAAAUGUAGGAGUGUAAAAUUAGGAGUGUAAAUGUAAAACUGCACCCCUGAUAGUUUCUGUAGUCUGUGAAUACUGGUUCUGACACAUUUAGUUGAUUCUGUUUCCCAAAAUAUAAUGUAACUAGUAGCCCAAUUUAAAUUCAGUUUAAUUCAGUUUUAUUUGUACUGUGAUUUUAAUGGAGAUUUGCAUGAAUUUAUAAAUUCAGCAUAGAAAUUUUACAUUUAUUAAUUUAUUCCUAAUGAACAAGCCAGAUCUGACGGUUACAAGGAAAAUUCAUUGAGAUGAUAUGAUUAAGAAACCUUGAGAAGAACCAGACUCAAAUGGGAACCCAUCUUCAUCUGGGUGACAACAAAUUAUAAAUAAUUAUAACAUAAUCAUAAAUAAUUCCCUUCUAUAACUGUGUACUACACGGUCAGAAAGUGCAUUUGUGUAACCAGGAAAUUCAUUACGGUUUUCACAUGAAGUCUAUUUUGUGAAGUCAACAACUGUUCACUGAUGGAGGCUUGACUGCAAAACAAUUUUGUGGCAAUUGAAAUCCUAAAGCUAUUAUGCAGCAACUGUAGUCCUAAGUCACUGUCGCAAAACUGUUCAAAUCAAUUUCAGUCCGAAGCCAUCUUCAAGGUUUUAAAGUGGUACCAUCCCAAGUAAUCUCACUGAUUUUUAAAUGACUGCAACCCUGAACAAGAUCGUUUGUAAAUUCAUGUUAAUGAACAUGGUCUUUGUCUUGUGAUCUUCGUAUCUGUUAAAAAACACGGAUCAGAACACACUUCAAAUCACAACCAGAUGUGAACCUUUCUGAUAAGCUUUAAAAAAAAAAUCAAUAGUGCACUUCCUAUUCAAAUCUGGUUGUAUAUCCAUUUAGAACACAUUAUUAUGUUCAAUCUGAAUAAUGUGCUCAUAUUCGACGACAUUUCUCAUGAAGUAUGUCCAGAAUGUCCAGAAUGGAUAGAAUGAACAAUAAUGUAACCAACAAAAAGUGAAAAACACAACUAAGUAGUGCUGUCUAAACAGCAAAGAACUGGCAUAAAAAGUAUACAGCGGUAUUAAUUCUGGUUCUGGUAAAUAGAAACAGAUGGAGGGGAUAAUCAUCAGGUAGUAUAAGCCAAACAAGAGCUGACAAACAAUCCUCAACAUUGUGAGGGCAAAUAUGGCAGAACUUUCUUGACAAUUUGCUGUUUGGGCGAGUUGGGCAUGGGUUGCAUCAUUCCCAAGUUAUCACUAUAAUGGGCACUGUUGUGGAAGUUUUUUUAAGGAACCCAUAAAUUUAGAUGCAUGAAAUAUACAAUUCUAUGAUGCUAUACAUAACUUGACCUUAAUGAGGAAAAUAUUAUAUUACACGGACUAUGUUUGGGUAAUUUAACCCACAAAUAAAGCAAAUUACUGAAAGAUUGAGACAACAAAGAGAAAAAAAGAAAAAAAAAAUAUUAGGAAAAAAAAUUGAUAAAUAAAACUCAGCACAUAUUAUUAGGAGCAUUAGGGCAUGAGAAGGGGUUUUUACUGUUUUCCAAAAACAUAGAUGUAUCAGUCUCAGCUGCCCAAAAUCAAUAUGACCCAUGAACAGUACACUGCUAAGUAGCAACUGGGAACUUUGAUCAGGCAUUGACUUUUCAGUCUACUCCAUACAGCGCUGAUGAAAAUGUCUUUUUUUUUUUCUCUGAUAAUCAUGCCCUGUGUGUACUGGUGGAAAUAGAAAGAAAAAAAACAGCAUCUCUUUCAAACCUAGACAUACUGGUACCUUAAAACAUACAGUGCACUCAUUGAAUUCAUAAUGUCAGCAGAGCAACAAGAUAUCCUGUUUAGCCUGUUCCAGGGAGUCUGAGCUCUUAACUCCCGAGUGUGAAAAUUGUCUUUUUGGCAUCUUCAAGCCCCAAUCAGGAGUCACUACAGCUUCUGUGCUGAGUUUAGAUACUCCAACAACAGGUUCUUUCAAUAUGAGUAUGAUGCUAAUGGCAGUUGGAAAGACAUAGUGUAGCCGUAUGUGAUUUUGUUGUUGUUGUUUUUGUUGUUGUUCAGACCUAUAUUAAGGCCUUCAUCAAGUAUUAUAUACAAAUGGAAAAAUUAAAGGAAAAACACUGGCUGUGUCAUGCUGUGUGAGGCGUUUUGCUGGAGUAGACUGGGUCCACUUGGCCUCUUAGAGGGAUAGAUCAUUCCGAAUCCAUACAAAGUUAUAUCCUUUCAGUACCAGUCCAGAAACUUGUGCAGACUACAGUAUGCCAUUAAUGCAUCUUGCUAAGGCACUUUAUUUUGGUUUUGAAAAUUUUGUCACUUUGUACACUACCCAAAAAUUGGUGUCACAGUCAAUCUAUGAUCGCAAGAUGAUAGAGUAAUCAAUGAACUAUCCAUUUCUUCUGCAUAAUAACAUUAUAAUAACAAGUUAGCCCAAUAUCUGUUGUUUCACAGGUCAAGUUGAAUUUGGUCCCACUAGUGGUACAACCAGACUGAUAGUACCAUCACAUUUGCUUUUUUCUUUUUUUUUUUCUUUUUUGCAUAAUCAUCUCAUUUACACAAUUACAUGUGAAAAGCAUGUUAUUAUUUUUUUCAAAUGGGGUUAAGUGAAAUAAUAUUUACAGGCUCCAAAAAAAAUUUUUAAAUUGAGAGGUGACAUCAUGCCUCAAUGUUUCUGCAGUUUCUAACUGUGAACAGUGUAGUCUGAAGAAUUAAGCUCAGGUAAAGAGCCAUUAGAGUGAAACUAAACACCCUCACCAGUUUCUACGUCAUGCUUGCUCAGCUUCAGCCAUAAAGGGCAGGAGUCCAGCACAGUUUAGUGAUUCGACACUUGAUUCAUCCUGAUUCCAAACUGAGCUAGAUUCCAAUCCAUCAUAAUCCCAGUGUAGUUGGAUACUAUUGGUCUAUAAAAUGUGACUGCUUCUUCUGAUAUAGUACACCAAAAGGGCCAUUUGUAUUUGUGUGUGUGUGUGGGGGGGGGGGGGUAGCUAGUUUUCAGGCAUUCAUUGUGUUGGACUCUGAAGUACACAUGAGCCUGACCAAAAUACCGCCUACUCUGCACUCAAAGAUUAACAUAUAUGAAGUACACAGGAGGGAGCUGGUAUCAAGUUUAUCAGUAAGUAUUAUGUGUGUGCGCAUGUGGGAGAGAGAGAAUUUAUGAGCAUGUGGGAGAACUUAAAAUACAUGUGUGUGUGUGUGUGUGUAUGUAUAUAUAUAUAUAUAUAUAUAUAU